GCCUUCAUGGCGUAGUGGUAGCGCGUCUCACUUGUAUUUUCACGCAAUGAGAAGGUCAGUCGUUCAAUCCGGCUUGUGGGCA